rnacentral:lncRNA from 1 species
UAUCAAACCGUCAGGACCUACCUUAAAUAAAUAUGGAUCAUCCCAAAGAUAAAAUUUAGCGUCUUGGAAAAAUUUCUUUCUCUGCUGCCAACUAUAAUCAUCUGGGACUAAAUUUCCUGCUUUAAAAUUUUCCAUGUCUGCGAACAAUGGUCUUUCAGUCACUGUUAAUAGCUGCUCAUCUGGGAACUCAACUACUAUACUUUUCUCCUUUUUCGUUAUUUCGGGGUUU